rnacentral:lncRNA from 1 species
GGAAAGCAUUAAAAUAGGAGGGUUUGCAAAAUGAGCUGUAGCUUCCCACUGCUGAAGUUGAUCAGAAAAUUAUAACUUACAGUCCUUUACUAAUUCUUAUAGAUUCUACUCACUAUUACCACUUCUGCUUUUAGGUGGCUUAUCGGGUGAGAUGACCCAGGAUUAUCCUUGAGGGGAUCUAGGCUCUGGCUCUGUGAUUUUAUCAGAUUGCAGCACCAUACUUAUGCAUCUUUCCCAGGCUAGUAAGGAUGAUCUCGUCAAUCAGUGGUGCUGGGCCAACAGCAUAUCUCUAGGUCUGGUGCACAGAACUCAACCAAUAUUUGUUGAACACAUGCUGAAUUGAAGUAGAAUGAAUGCAAAUGGGAUAAAAAGAAAGUUGAAGUGACUAUGUAAAAUCAGACAAAGACUUCACGAAGAGUUUAUGGCCAUGAAUAAAGACAAACAUUAUAUAAUAUAAAGAAGCCA